rnacentral:rRNA from 1 species
UCUUACGGCCACACCGCCUGGUUCACGCUUGAUCUCGGAAGAUAAGAUAGGUUGGGCCUGGUUAGUACUUGGAUGGGAGACCGCCUGGGAAUACCAGGUGCUGUAAGCU